rnacentral:rRNA from 1 species
UACGGAGGGUGCAAGCAUUGAUCGGAAUUACUGGGCGUAAAGGGCGCGUAGGCGGAUAGGAAAGUCAGAUGUGAAAUUCCGGGGCUCAACCUCGGAGCUGCAUUUGAAACUGUCUAUCUAGAGUUCAGUUAGGGAAAACGGAAUUCCACGUGUAGCGGUGAAAUGCGUAGAUAUGUGGAAGAACACCGGUGGUGAAGACGGUUUUCUGGGCUGAUACUGACGCUGAGGUGCGAAAGCGUGGGGAGCAAACAGG